GAGUUGUAAUGUAGGCUUAGAAGAAUGCAUGGUCUGUGCGGUUUUCUCACUUCAGAUGUGGAAGGUCAACCAGGUUCCAGAAACCUUAAAGGAGGUUCUAUAUGGAUGAUAUGGCCCCUCAUCUGGCCUGGAAGAGCAAGUUUGAACAGUCUAGUCACAAGUGUAGCUCAGCAUCCCAGAAUGCAGUACUGGUGGAAAUCCUGUUAAAGUGCCCACACUUCUGUUUUAAUGCAGGAGAACAUCUGCUAGGAGUCCAUCUGUUUACAUCAGGGUUCCCUGGGAUUUGAAGAAAGCAUAGAGGUCCCUAGACUCCCACCUUAUCUUCCCAAUGUAUAUAUGGGGGGAGGGUGGUUUGGAAGAAAAAAAUGGAGGAGAAAAAACUUGACAUUUUGUGAACUCCAUGGCAAUUCUGAUCUCAUUGCCUCAUUUUUUUCCUCCUCCCAGAUAAGACUUCCCUGGAUUCUAGGAUUCUUGAAUAGAUGAAUUCCAAGGAAGACUGUCUAAUUCUAGCAAUUCUAAACCCAUGGGUCAUCAAGUUUCCAUGCUGUGAUCUAAGGAUGAUCUCUGGCCAACAGCCAGUGAGGAACCAAGGCUCACACUCUGAAUUCUAUCAGCAACUAUAUGAGCUACUACAGAUAAAGCUGCUAUGAACAAUCAGGCACACAAUGCUAUGUGGGCAAAUUCUUUCAUUUCUCUGGGAUAAAUGUCCAGGAGUACAACUGCUGAGU